AUUCUCUUGACGGUGUGUGAGUUUAUACCUACUAAAAGGCUACUUGUGGAAAGGCUAAGAACUAAUUUCCAUCUUCCACCCCACCUGACUGCCAAACCUGUUAUCAUCAGGGUGCCUUCCCAUCCAUUCAUUGGAACAAGAUAUUGAAAGAACCACCAUUCAUCUACCGCUCCGUAUUCUUCCGUUCCAGGAAAAUUUCUGGCUUUAUUUCUUUGAUGCCUUCUUCUCUUCUGCCUUCUCACUUCUCUUUUUAGAGAAUCCCUAAACUCUUUUAGUCAGUUGUCUGGAUACUCAUUCAUAGAGGCCUCACCUGUCUUCCGUACCGACCCAGCCUUCUGUUGCCCUGUAUAGAAAGCAGAAUGAUGGGAAAAGAUGGAGGCAGGUAGAAUGCAGUGAGUUAAAUUGUGUCCCUAAAAAAUAUAUGUCCGUGGCCAGGUACAGUGGCUCAUGCCUGUAAUCCCAGCACUUUGGGAGGCUGAGGGGGCAGAUCACUUGAGGUUAGGAGUUCCAGACCAGCCUGGCCAACAUGGUGAAACCCCGUCUCUACUAAAAUACAAAAUUACAAAAUGCAAAAAUACUGAAAUACAAAAGUACAAAAAUUAACUGGACACGGUAGUGCAAGCCUGUAAUCCCAGCUACUGAGGCUGAGGCAGAAGAAUCGCUUGAACCUGGGAGGCAGAGGUUGCAGUAAGCUGAGAUGGCACCACUGCACUCCAGCCUGGAAGACAGAGCGAGACUCCAUCUCCAAAAAAGGAAAGAACAAAAGAAAAGAAAAGAAAAGAAAGGAAAGGAAAGGAAAGGAAAGAAAAGAAAAGAAAAGAAAAGAAAAGAAAAGAAAAGAAAAGAAAAGAAAAAAUGUCCGUGGCCAGGUACAGUGGCUCACACCUGUAAUCCCAGCACUUUGAAAGGCGGAGGUGGGAGGAUGGCUUGAGCCCAGGAGUUCAAGACCCACCUGGGCAACAUAAAGAGCCCUCAUUUCUACCUUAAAAAAAAAAAAUGUUCAAGUCCUAACUCUCCAUACAUGAGCAAACUUAAUUCGAAAUAGGAUCUUUGCAGAUUUCAUUAAGAAUCUCAAGAUGAGAUCAUCCUUGAUAUAGGUUUGACACAGGUCAAAAUCCAAAGACUUGUGUCCCUAUAAAGAAAGUAGAGGGAGAUUUGAGACACAGGAGAGAGAGGAGAAGGCCAGGUGAAGAUGGAAGCAGGGACGCCCAGGGGUGGUGGCUCACACCUGCAGCCCCAGCACUUUGGGAGGCCGAGGUGAGAGGAUGGCUUGAGUCCAGGAGUUCCAUACCAGCCUGGGCAACACAGAGAGACCUUGUCUCUACAAAAAAAGUUCUAAAAAUUAGCAGACAUGGUGGUCUGCGUCUGUAGUCCCAGCUACUCUGGUGGCUGCGGAUCACUUGAGCCUGAGAGGUGGAGGCUGCAGUGGGCUAUGAUCAUGCCACUACACUUCAGCAUGGGUGACAGAGAGACCCUGUUUCAAAAAAAAUAACAAGUCUCCAGCAUUUUAUUUUGGGGAAAUUGGGUUUGGUUCAUGCUGGUCCCUCUUCCCUGUUGCAAUGGUUUUACUGAAUGAAAUCUUCUUCAGUGCAUUAGCUAGUGGUGGGCUCUGUUUAUCUUUGAUGGGCAGAGCCAGAGGUAUAAAAACAGUGUGCUCAUUCUCCUCCACCUUCCAAUCUCCUGUCUGGGCCCCGCAUUGGCCAAUGGGAGCCUGUGGGUGGUGGGCACCACAGCUGCCUGCUGAUUGGGGCUCUUAUGGUCAGCAUCUGUGCAGACGGCAGGUGGGGAAGGGAAGAGAAGGGAGGGGAAUCCCUCUGGAGGCAACAGAAGCUAGCCAGCACACCCUGCUUCCUGGGCGCUUCUCGUGGCAUCAGCAACAGUCUUAUCAUGACUGUCCCUUAAAACAUUCCAAGGCUGGGUGCGAUGGCUGAUGCCUAUAAUCCCAGCACUUUAGGAGGCUGAGGUGCGUGGAUCACUUGAGCCCAGGAGUUUGAGACCACCCUGGGAAACUUGGCAAAAUCCCAUCUCUACAAAAAAUACAAAAAUUAGCCGGAUGUGGUGGUGUACACCGUAGUCCCAGCUACUCGCGGGACUGAGAAGUGGAAGGAUCGCUUGAGCCCAGGAGGUC
rnacentral:lncRNA from 1 species